CAGCCGCCACGGGAAUACGAAGGGUGCAAGCGUUACUCGGAAUUACUGGGCGUAAAGCGUGCGUAGGUGGUUGUUUAAGUCUGCUGUGAAAGCCCUGGGCUCAACCUGGGAAUUGCAGUGGAUACUGGGCAACUAGAGUAAGGUAGAGGAUAGUGGAAUUUCCGGUGUAGCAGUGAAAUGCGUAGAGAUCGGAAGGAACAUCUGUGGCGAAGGCGACUAUCUGGGCCAUUACUGACACUGAGGCACGAAAGCGUGGGGAGCAAACAGGAUUAGAUACCCCCGUAGUCCCUGUCUCUUAUAC
rnacentral:rRNA from 1 species